rnacentral:rRNA from 1 species
UACGUAGGGGGCUAGCGUUGUCCGGAAUCAUUGGGCGUAAAGAGCGUGUAGGCGGUUCGGUAAGUCCGCUGUGAAAGUCCAGGGCUCAACCCUGGAAUGCCGGUGGAUACUGUCGGGCUAGAGUCCGGAAGAGGAGAGUGGAAUUCCUGGUGUAGCGGUGAAAUGCGCAGAUAUCAGGAGGAACACCAAUGGCGAAGGCAGCACUCUGGGACGUGACUGACGCUGAGACGCGAAAGCGUGGGGAGCAAACAGG